rnacentral:tRNA from 1 species
GGUUCCAUAGUGAAAGGGAUAUCACAAAACGCUUCGAACGUUUUAUUGAGGGUUCGAAUCCUUCUGGAACCACCA